UCCUGGCUCAGGACGAACGCUGGCGGCGUGCCUAAUACAUGCAAGUCGAGCGGACAGAUGGGAGCUUGCUCCCUGAUGUUAGCGGCGGACGGGUGAGUAACACGUGGGUAACCUGCCUGUAAGACUGGGAUAACUCCGGGAAACCGGGGCUAAUACCGGAUGGUUGUUUGAACCGCAUGGUUCAAACAUAAAAGGUGGCUUCGGCUACCACUUACAGAUGGACCCGCGGCGCAUUAGCUAGUUGGUGAGGUAAUGGCUCACCAAGGCAACGAUGCGUAGCCGACCUGAGAGGGUGAUCGGCCACACUGGGACUGAGACACGGCCCAGACUCCUACGGGAGGCAGCAGUAGGGAAUCUUCCGCAAUGGACGAAAGUCUGACGGAGCAACGCCGCGUGAGUGAUGAAGGUUUUCGGAUCGUAAAGCUCUGUUGUUAGGGAAGAACAAGUACCGUUCGAAUAGGGCGGUACCUUGACGGUACCUAACCAGAAAGCCACGGCUAACUACGUGCCAGCAGCCGCGGUAAUACGUAGGUGGCAAGCGUUGUCCGGAAUUAUUGGGCGUAAAGGGCUCGCAGGCGGUUUCUUAAGUCUGAUGUGAAAGCCCCCGGCUCAACCGGGGAGGGUCAUUGGAAACUGGGGAACUUGAGUGCAGAAGAGGAGAGUGGAAUUCCACGUGUAGCGGUGAAAUGCGUAGAGAUGUGGAGGAACACCAGUGGCGAAGGCGACUCUCUGGUCUGUAACUGACGCUGA
rnacentral:rRNA from 1 species